rnacentral:rRNA from 1 species
AGAGACAGCAGUAGCCGCGGUAAUACGGAGGAUCCAAGCGUUAUCCGGAAUCAUUGGGUUUAAAGGGUACGUAGGCGGUCUUGUAAGUCAGUGGUGAAAGCCCAUCGCUCAACGGUGGAACGGCCAUUGAUACUGCAGGACUUGAAUUAUUGGGAAGUAACUAGAAUAUGUAGUGUAGCGGUGAAAUGCUUAGAGAUUACAUGGAAUACCAAUUGCGAAGGCAGGUUACUACCAAUUGAUUGACGCUGAUGGACGAAAGCGUGGGUAGCGAACAGGAUUAGAUACCCGGGUAGUCCCUGUCUCUUAUAC